rnacentral:rRNA from 1 species
ACGAACGCUGGCGGCGUGCUUCACCCAUGCAAGUCGAACGGUGAAGCGCCUUCCUUUUUGGUGGGUGUGGAUGAGUGGCGAACGGGUGAGUAACACGUGAGUAACCUGCCCCCUUCUUCUGGAUAACCGCAUGAAAGUGUGGCUAAUACGGGAUAUUCUGGGUCUGUCGCAUGAUGGGUCUGGGAAAGAUAUUGUUUCGGUGGGGGAUGGGCUCGCGGCCUAUCAGCUUGUUGGUGGGGUGAUGGCCUACCAAGGCGGUGACGGGUAGCCGGCCUGAGAGGGUGGACGGUCACACGGGGACUGAGACACGGCCCAGACUCCUACGGGAGGCAGCAGUGGGGAAUAUUGCACAAUGGGCGCAAGCCUGAUGCAGCGACGCCGCGUGAGGGAUGGAGGCCUUCGGGUUGGGAACCUCUUUCGCCAGUGAAGCAGGCCUGCCUCGUUUGUGGGUGGGUUGACGGGAGCUGGAUAAGAAGCGCCGGCUAACUACGU